UUUAAUGCUACAAGUUUUGUGCCUUGCGUUUAUUAUUUUAUUAUAUUAGGUUUGAAUAUUCUCUAUCAUAUUCUGUUUGAGGAAUUACGACGGUUCUUUGGUACGUCACUUGCGACGUCACACGCAGUAUCUUGGUUCAAAACCGCUGCGUUCUGUCACGUCACAAUUCGACACAAUCGUUUAGAUUUCGCUUUCUACCGCUCGCGUUACUGUUAGGCCAAAGUUGAAUAACACGCGACUGUUCUACGCCGACGUUUCGCUACGUUUUUUCAUGGGGCCCCAUGCGCGUUUUUAUUCGAUAUCAGGCACAUUACUUGUAUACUCUAAUUAUAUUUGCGCUAUGAGCGCGAAGCAAGAAGAGCAAAGAAUUGGUAAAGUAUAAAUCACAAUUGGCAUUAUUACGCACAUGAGCUCUUUUACAGAAACAUCGAUGAUAUGACGUCACGAAGUGGUGAUGACGCAACAGAUGAGCCCAUUUCAACUGUAUGUGACAUCACAGAGAAUCAAGCGGACUAUGGGGCGAUAGAAGAAUGAAGCAAUGUCAGCAAAUAAAGCUGCCGAAGAAAAGCGCAAGACGAAGAACAAAGACGAAUACUCCGAUAAAAGUAUACACGGUUUGAGGUCUGAGUAUUAUAAGUAUGAGUUGUGUUUUGUAUGUGUGUCGUCUUGUCUGAGCUCCUUCUUAUUCCGCUGGGCCUAAUGUGGCCAGCUAUUUUUAGUCAGUCACUACCUCUUUGGUCACUACUAUAGUGCAUUUUGCGUGUCUAUAUGAAAUAUAUGCAAUAAAACUAUGGCGAAUAUCCUGCUGGAUCAGAUUUUGUUGCUGUACACUCUAUUGUGUGUUACUUCUACCAUAGUUUAUGAGAAUUUCUCAUCAACUUUAUGCUUCUACAAAGAUAGAAUUCUUUAACGAUUCUGUAUUGUCCUGAUCGCUUCGUGAGAACGCUAUGUUGGUAUACAAAUACUCGAGUAAUGUCAACACGCAUUAUAAUAUGCGCUUAACUAUGAAGUCCAAAAUUUUACAUUUAAUUCUAAUAACUUCCCCACUCCACAUAAAACAUGUAACUGUAAAUUUAUAUUUACGUCAUGUAGGGUUAUUGGGACGAUGGCCACGUCACAAUUACGCUACGCGACGUCGAUACGAUGGGUCAGAGCAUUGACAUGAUCAUGCGUUCGGUGUGGUUUCGUCAGUUUUGACUGAGUUACGUUGCGGUCAGAUUGUUGCGUGGACGUCGCCGCCAGUGAUGCUACGCUUAAUAUUUAGGUCACUGUCAAUGCGGUUCGCAACAAACUGACGCAGUUUCGCAACGGUCGAAUCGGUACGUAACAUCUGGACGUUAUUAUUUUGUGUUAAGAUACGACGAGAGUAUCGCGGUACCAACAUGGCGACUUACCUUUUGGUUGGGACAUGCGAAGCUAUUGCUGGCUUCGACUCCUUGCAAUCAUUUAAUAUGGUGUACACUGCAGUUAAUUGUCCUUUAGGAUAUGACCCCUAUUUUAUUUGUAGAUAUUUCAACGUUAAUUAACUUUUUGACCCCGUCCCCUUUUUGUAUGAUUGAGCUGUUGUGUUUGUUGCAUGUUUGGCACAUGUAUGUCGCUGCACUCGUUGUACUAUUUUUGUCUUUUUGUUGGUGUAUUUCUUGUUGUGCACAUUUUCUAUGUGCGUCGUUGUACUAUUUUUGUCUAUGGGGGUUUCUUUAACCUGCGUGGACAGUAACAUCCCGCAAGGGUUUCUCACCGAAGUAGAAACCCACUU